ensembl:lncRNA
ACAUUUAUAGUUUUAUUCACCACUCCUGUUAGUUUUGGAUGCGCUCGGCUCCAACCAAUCAGACCAAUUUACGCUAACGGCGCACUAAUCCCGUAACUGCACACUACCCAUAAGCCUCAAACACCGUUGCUAUGGAAAUGAAAAUAAUCAACAGCUUGGUGCUACCCGUUAUUCCUUUAUUUACUCUAAAAUAAUAACCAGCGAUAAUACGAAAAUAAACUGGCCCAGUGUUUAAUUAUGUAAUUACAAAUUGCAAAUUUUAUUUUUUUAUUUUAUUUUAUUUCAUUUUUUGCAAUAUUUAUCUACAGCGUGCCUUCAGCGACACGUAAACAGAUCUUAAGCAAGGCGAUUGGAUGGUUUUUACUGCAAUGCAUCUUGGGAGUCGUAGUAAAUGGAUCUUUCAACUCACCGUCCAGCGAAUUUUUCGACUCGACACGAGGCAGAUCUUAGCUAGAAAUUAUAAAGCCAAAAACCAAACCAUGCCCUUCCUGUCAGGCUCCAAGCACCUGCAACAGGAAGACAUGCAGUGGAUGCCUGGGCAGCCUGAACGUAAAGGAGGGAUUGAAAAAAAAAAAAACAAGAACAGCAACUGGGCUGCCUCUGUUAAAAAAAAACAGAAAUGCGAGCAGGGUGGUCAAUUCAGCCCAGUUAUCAGUAAGGUUUCAAAACUACAUGCCCUGCCAAUUCUGUUUCUUGGACAGUUUGACCGAAAGGGCCGUAUAGUAGGGGACGUGAUCACAUAGAGCCAGCGGAUGGUGCUGCACGUGACAUCCUCAUGAAGAUGAGGAAACUUUAUGAACACCUUCUGAGAAGUAAGAUAUGCUUUGUCCAUUAUCUGUGUCCUUAUCAGCCUAUCCUAGCUGUCUUUGGGUGAUACUCAUUGUACACCUUAGAUAAGUAGGCAGUUCACCACGAGAUAUAGAGACAAACAAGAUGGUGAAGAUGAGGAUAGUUAACAGUCACCAGCUAUUGUAUUCUAUUCUACUCUACUCUAUUUUGUUCUAUUCUAUUCUGUUUUUCAGCCAAGGUUCAGACCAGUAACCGUCUUGCUGUGAGGUGACACUGCCCUACAUGUCCUGUUGCUAACAUGAAAAUAGUGUUAUAUAUGCCUUAUUACCUCCCCAUGUGGUGUUCACGUCACCAAAGCUAGCCAUACUGAACCUCUGGUGUUACCCACCUGAACAAUUUUGUAUGUGUGUGUGUGUGUAUAGUAUGGUCUUUCACACUCAUAUAUAUAAAAAUGUAAUUUGAAAAAUCUUCUCGAAAACCAGACCUGAUAAUUCUCUUCGAGACUUUCUAGUAUAACAAAAGUCAUCAGCUAUCUGGAUUUAUAGUCACACUCAUUAAUUUAUUAAUGUACAAUGUAGAAAAGCACUACAGAUGUCACACUACCCCCGAGGGCACUUGUACUGAAUGAUUUGGGUCAGUGAGGGUGUGAGAUGACUUAUUUGAUGCCAAUAUUUACAAGUUGUAACUUUAGUAAAAACCUAACUGAAAACAUGCAAAACACUACUUAUUAUGUGUUUAUGUGUACUGUACGUUUUUUCAACCCAUUUUAAUGAAUAUUUAAUAUUUAAAAUUUUGCAGAAUUACAAGCUUCACCUCCUGCUAAAAAUUCUACACCAGCAGCUGGACCAUCCUCUGCUGACAGUGUCGAUGCUGGACCAGUCCCAGACCCAGAGGCUCUAAACGAGGAAUUUAUUCUUCAUUUAGAGCCUGAACCAACAUCUUCCCUCUGUCAGCCUCCUGUAUCCUCCUCUUCAUCUCUGCUUCCUCCUGCAUCCUCCUCUUCAUCUCCGCUUCCUGCAUUUCCCUCAAUUUCUACGGCGUACACCUCGGAUGUCCCAAACAAAAAAAGGACAAGGAAAGGUUAGAUGUUACGGUAUUGUAAAUGUACGAAAUACAUGACAGGUUCGUUAAGUUUGUUAAGAUUUCUUUUUCUUAAUUUUUGCAUUUUCUCCAGUCUUACAGACCUCAUGUAAAUAUUUCAUUUGUUAUUUUUCAGAAUGCCAAAAACACCGUACACAGAAGAUUUUCAAAUAUGAAGAGAUAGUAGACAGGAGAGUUGUAAAUGUAAGUAAUUUAGCCUGCUGUUGUGCAGAUUUGUUUGCAUCUUUGGACUUCCUGGACUUGAACUGUGCCUGACUGACUAUCCAUGAGCUUUUGUAUUUGAUGAAUCUACGCUAAUUCAGCCAUUGAGUCUGGAUUUCGCUCCAAGUAGGACAUUAAAUAGGAACAUACCACCUGAUACAACCUGGUCAUGCUGCCUUCCUGGUGUUUACGUUCUUUAAAGUCCUCCUGACAUCAUGCUCAGAAGGAGUGAUUGAUGUGGAGGUGCUCCUUCCCAUUCAGUAACAUCUGCUUCAGUUAGUUUUGCUUGUGAGCCACAAUGUAAGCAGUGUUGCUUUGCUGACAUGCACUCGAUGCUGGCAGUACAAGCAUUGUAGUGGUUCUUAUGUUUUUGUAAACUAUCCAUCCAUCCAUCCAUCCAUUCGCUUCCGCUUAUCCUUUUCAGGGUCGCGGGGGGCGCUGGAGCCUAUCCCAGCUGUCAUAGGGCGAGAGGCAGGGUACACCCUGGACAGGUCGCCAGUCUGUCGCAGGGCCAACACAUAGGGACAGACAACCAUUCGCACUCACAUUCACUCGCACAUUCACACCUAGUGGCAAUUUGGAUUAUCCAAUUAACCUAUCCCCACAAGUUGCAUGUCUUUGGACGGUGGGAGGAAGCGGAGUACCCGGAGGGAACCCACGCAAACACGGGGAGAACAUGCAGACUCCACACAGAAAGACCCCGGCCUGAUGGUGGAAUUGAACUCAGGACCUUCUUGCUGUGCGGCAACAGUGCUAACCACCGUGCCACCGUGCUGCCCAAACUAAACUAAUUGUAUAAUAUAUUGAGCCAUUCAAUAGUACACAAAUGUUUAUAAGCUCCUUUUUGUAUGCAACUUGCAUGUCUUUCUUAAUUAACUGUUUGUUUAUACAAUGUUUUUCAGGAAAAAGAAGUUAAAGUCAAGUGGAAGCCCUGCUCGAUAUGGUAUGUAGUAACAACUUUGUUGGACCGGAACAGACAUUUAUAUUGUUGAUAAAUAGUUCUCACCUCAGUUUGAAUUCAUGUAUUUGGACUAAAGUAAAUUGGGAGCUUUUAGCUUUUAGCUGAGGAGCUUGAUAGCAGUCCACCUCCAAAGUUCAUUAUGAGAUUUGGAGGUGGACAUGGUCAACACUUUUAAGAGUAGGCAUAAGACUUUACUUCUUUAUAGAGCUUAUAGUUAGGGCUGGUUCAGGUCAGCCUUUAGUUAUGCUGUCAUAGGACCAGACUGCUGUGGGUUAGUGUCCCCCCCCUCUCUCUCUCUCUCCUCUGUCUGUCUGUCUCUUUCAGGGUUAUGCAGGCUCAGUAUUGGUUGAAGAUGCAGUCACAUCUCCUUUUACUAAAAACUCUCCCCCUCUCCCUCACCAUCUGUAAGCAUACAUGUCUCAGUAAUGCAGUUCAUGCAUGUUGCUAACUAAACUUCUUCCCUGGAGUUUCUGUGCUCCAGCAGGUUCCGAUGGCUCGUGGCUGCUGCUGUGGUCCUGCUUGACAUCUACUCCAUAUAUUAUUACUCUCUGACUUGAUUUGAUUAAUUUAUAUUACAAUGAAGGUGUAUAAAGCAUGACAUGAAUAUAGAAAAUAUUUCAUCCUAAAAAAUUGUCAUAUGUCACAACCUAAAUUAUCCUAUUUUGUGUGUGGUUGUCGUUGUUGUUUAUGUUUUUCUCCUGACAGUGGCAAAGUGUGGGAUGACAGAUGAGAAUCUGCGCAGUUUUACACACAGUAAACCAGAUCCCUGUGUGCGAUCGCACAGUUCAGUUUGUAGUUCAGCAUAAAAGUUCAAAAUAAAAUAUUUACUAUACAUUUCAGCCAGUGUCAGUCUCUGUUUCACUCUCUAAUUUGUUUCAAGUAAAGUAAGUAACAUCUUGUAUGAGGUGAUUAGGGUCAGCAGUACUGUGUAUGGGAGCCUAAAGCAAAGUUAACUGCACCAGUAGCAGCUUCAGAACAUAUUGUAUAUUAUAUGUUUCUACCUUUUGCAAUAUGUCAUGUUUAGAUGCAGUGACAAUUGCACAUUUGGAAUUGUGGUCAUAUGUGGUUUUUAUACACAGGGUAUUAGAAAAUAAUUGAAAUUUUUUCUUGUUUGUUUACACAUUAUUAUUGUUAAUAUUAUUAUUAGAUACCAAAGACACAAUUUGAUUAAGGGUUUUCCUGUCAUUAUUUCAAUAAAAAUGCAAUUACACACGUAAACAAUAGGAUCAAAAUAAACUUAAAAAGUCUAUUAGCAAAUGCUGAUUUUCAAAACAUUCUAGAGGAAAAUAGAGAUAAAAUAAUCUGAAUAAUAACAGUGACCUUGGAUGAUGAUGGAGACUUCAAUGGAUUAUUCUGUUUCAAUCAAUAUUUUCAUAUCUAUGACAAUAAUUUGAUAAGAUCAAAGAAGGCAAUGAUUCCAAAAUGGGAGUUAUGUCAUUAUAUAUAUCCAGGAAUAUGUGCCUGAGGAUAGUUGUCACGAAAUCAAUAUUAAAUCAAAGUAUUCCUUAAUUACCACAGCUGACACGAGUUCUCCAUAGCUGCCUGCUGUCUCAGGAUCUGUCUCCAAAAAGGACCAGGGAGAACUAACAUGUUCUAAACUGAUGCAGAAAAUGCACAUUAAACAUAAUAUAAACUUACUGAGUGAAGUAAUGUCAAGAGGAUUCCUUUAGCUCCUAUUGGGUUGGUUCCUUGAUCAAUGCAAUACAGAAUCAUUAAUUUGGUUUUAUGUAAUGUCCUUAAAACACGUCAAAAUGAGGCUCUGUAGUCUGUGUGGCCUCCACAUGUCUGUAUGACCUCCCUACAACACCUGGGCAUGCUCCUGAUGAAGUGGCAGAUGCUCUCCUGAGGGAUCUCCUCCCAGACUCCUGGACAUUUUGUGCUGCAGUUGGUGGAUGGAGCGAGACAUGAUGUCCCAGAUGUCCUCAAUUGCAUUCAGGUGUGGGGAACGGGUGGGCCAGUCCACAGCAUCAAUACCUUUGUCUUGCAGGAACUGCUGACACACUCCAGCCACAUGAGGUCUAGCAUUGUCUUGCAUUAGGAGGAACCCGGGGCCAACCGCACCAGCAUAUGGUCUCACAAGGGGCCUGAAGAUCUCAUCUCAGUACCUAAUGGCAGUCAGGCUACCUCUGCCGAACACAUGGAGGGCUGUGCGGUCCCCAAAGAGAUGCCACCCCACACCAAAACUGACCCACUG